GAGGGUAUAGCUCAGUGGUACAGCACAUGCUUAGCACGCACAUGGUUCUGGGUUCAAUCCCCAGUACCUCCA
rnacentral:tRNA from 1 species